GUCCACGCCCUAAACGAUGUCAACUAGUUGUCGGGUCUUAAUUGACUUGGUAACGCAUCUAACGCGUGAAGUUGACCGCCUGGGGAGUACGGUCGCAAGAUUAAAAACUCAAAGGAAUUGACGGGGACCCGCACAAGCGGUGGAUGAUGUGGAUUAAUUCGAUGCAACGCGAAAAACCUUACCUACCCUUGACAUGGCAGGAAUCCUGAAGAGAUUCAGGAGUGCUCGCAAGAGAACCUGCACACAGGUGCUGCAUGGCUGUCGU
rnacentral:rRNA from 1 species